rnacentral:pre_miRNA from 1 species
AUAGUACUCCCUCCGUUCGGAAUUACUUGUCACAGAAAUAGAUGUAUUUUAGUUCUAGACACAUCCAUUUCCGAGACAAGUAAUUCCGAACGGAGGGAGUAGAAU